ACGGGGAAUUAGGGUUCGAUUCCGGAGAGGGAGCCUGAGAAACGGCUACCACAUCUAAGGAAGGCAGCAGGCGCGCAAAUUACCCAAUGAAAACAGUUUCGAGGUAGUGACGAGAAAUAACAAUACAGGGCAUUUUAUGCUCUGUAAUUGGAAUGAUGGGAAUGUAAAACCCUUCCAGAGUAACAAUUGGAGGGCAAGUCUGGUGCCAGCAGCCGCGGUAAUUCCAGCUCCAAUAGUGUAUAUUAGAGUUGUUGCAGUUAAAAAGCUCGUAGUUGGAUUUCUGCUGUGGUCAUCCGGUACCGCCCGUAUGGGUGCGCACCUGGUUUGGCUGCGGCUUUCUUCCUGUAGCCGUCCGCGCUUAAUUGCGUGCGUUGUGUUACGGAACUUUUACUUUGAGAAAAAUAGAGUGUUUCAAGCAGGCUUGUCGCCCUGAAUACUUCAGCAUGGAAUAAUAGGAUAGGACCUUGGUUCUAUUUUGUUGGUUUCUAGGACCAAGGUAAUGAUUAAUAGGGACAGUUGGGGGCAUU
rnacentral:rRNA from 1 species